rnacentral:lncRNA from 1 species
UCUCGGUUAGGUGGAAAUUCCUCAAUAUCAUCGGGAAACACUUCCGGAAACUCACACACUACCGGAAUCUGAUCCAACUUUUGAUCAUCACCCGAAACACCAGCGGUUAACAACAGGAUACCCUGACAUUCGAUUCCAGAACAGUUCACCAUCAUCGAAUUCAAGUAAUAAUUAUUCACCACGACCGGCCCUUCUGUAUCUUCCGGCAUAAAGUACAC